CCUACGGGCGGUAGCAGUGAGGAAUAUUGGUCAAUGGACGAGAGUCUGAACCAGCCAAGUAGCGUGAAGGAUGACUGCCCUAUGGGUUGUAAACUUCUUUUAUAAAGGAAUAAAACGAGGCACGUGUGCCUUUUUGCAUGUACUUUAUGAAUAAGGAUCGGCUAACUCCGUGCCAGCAGCCGCGGUAAUACGGAGGAUCCGAGCGUUAUCCGGAUUUACUGGGUGUAAAGGGGGCGCAGACGGCGAUGCAAGCCAGGAGUGAAAGCCCGCGGCCCAACCCCGGGACUGCUCUUGGUACUGGGUGGCUAGAGUGCAGGAGAGGCAGGCGGAAUUCCUGGUGUAGCGGUGAAAUGCGUAGAUAUCAGGAAGAACACCGGUGGCGAAGGCGGCCUGCUGGACUGCGACUGACGUUGAGGCCCGAAAGCGUGGGGAGCAAACAGGAUUAGAUACCCGUGUAGUC
rnacentral:rRNA from 1 species